GUGGCUCCSSUGUAGUUGUWKACUUCGGUCUGCUACCUCUUACCCAUGUCUUUUGAGUACCUUCGUUUCCUCGGCGGGUCCGCCCGCCGAUUGGACAACAUUCAAACCCUUUGCAGUUGCAAUCAGCGUCUGAAAAAACAUAAUAGUUACAACUUUCAACAACGGAUCUCUUGGUUCUGGCAUCGAUGAAGAACGCAGCGAAAUGCGAUAAGUAGUGUGAAUUGCAGAAUUCAGUGAAUCAUCGAAUCUUUGAACGCACAUUGCGCCCCUUGGUAUUCCAUGGGGCAUGCCUGUUCGAGCGUCAUUUGUACCUUCAAGCUCUGCUUGGUGUUGGGUGUUUGUCUCGCCUCUGCGUGUAGACUCGCCUUAAAACAAUUGGCAGCCGGCGUAUUGAUUUCGGAGCGCAGUACAUCUCGCGCUUUGCACUCAUAACGACGACGUCCAAAAGUACAUUUUUACACUCUUGACCUCGGAUCAGGUAGGGAUACCCGCUGAACUUAAGCAUAUCAAUAAGCGGAGGAA
rnacentral:rRNA from 1 species